AAGGAGAAGUCGUAACAAGGUUUCCGCCCGCGAACGUGUUAACUAAACACCGAGGGGGAGCGAGGACGGCGGGUGAGACGCGCGGUCGCGUCGCCCGUGGCCAAACAACGAACCCCCGGCGUGAAUUGCGCCAAGGAACCAUAUAACGAAGAAGAGCACGUCGGCAGUUGCCGCCCCGUUCGCGGUGUGCGCGCGGACCGCCUCGUGACUCCUUUCUUGCGAAAAUUUAAAACGACUCUCGGCAACGGAUAUCUCGGCUCUCGCAUCGAUGAAGAACGUAGCGAAAUGCGAUACUUGGUGUGAAUUGCAGAAUCCCGUGAACCAUCGAGUCUUUGAACGCAAGUUGCGCCCCAAGCCAUUAGGCCGAGGGCGCGCCUGCCUGGGUGUCACGCAUCGUCGCCCCCUCCACCCCUUAGCCCAACAAAAGGCUAAGGGCGUUGCUGGGACGGAAAAUGGCCUCCCGUAGGCUCCCAGCUUGCGGUUGGCCCAAACGCGAGUCCUCGGCAACGAAUGGCGCCGUGACGAUCGGUGGUAAUGCUCCUAGCGUGCCUUGUCUCCAGUCGCGCGCGCCCGUUGUCCGUGCGGACCCCCUCGGACCCUUUUGUGCAUCGCUCGAACGAUGCUCGCAUCGCGACCCCAGGUCAGGCGGGAUUACCCGCUGAG
rnacentral:rRNA from 1 species